rnacentral:rRNA from 1 species
CCUACGGGAGGCAGCAGUUAGGAAUCUUGCGCAAUGGGCGAAAGCCUGACGCAGCGACGCCGCGUGCGGGAUGACGGCCUUCGGGUUGUAAACCGCUUUCAGCAGGGACGAUUAUGACGGUACCUGCAGAAGAAGCCCCGGCCAACUACGUGCCAGCAGCCGCGGUAAUACGUAGGGGGCAAGCGUUGUCCGGAUUUAUUGGGCGUAAAGAGCUCGUAGGCGGUUUGGUAAGUCGGGUGUGAAAUCUCCACGCUCAACGUGGAGGGGCCACUCGAUACUGCCAUGACUCGAGUCCGGUAGAGGAGUGUGGAAUUCCCGGUGUAGCGGUGAAAUGCGCAGAUAUCGGGAGGAACACCCGUAGCGAAGGCGGCACUCUGGGCCGGAACUGACGCUGAGGAGCGAAAGCGUGGGGAGCAAACAGGAUUAGAUACCCUGGUAGUCCACGCCGUAAACGUUGGGCACUAGGUGUGGGGAUCUAUCGACGGUUUCCGUGCCGAAGCUAACGCAUUAAGUGCCCCGCCUGGGGAAGUACGGCCGCAAGGCUAAAACUCAAAUGAAUUGACGGCUGAAGAGCGACGACGACGACGAGAGGAG